rnacentral:rRNA from 1 species
GACGAACGCUGGCGGCGUGCUUAACACAUGCAAGUCGAACGGAAAGGCCCUGCUUUUGUGGGGUGCUCGAGUGGCGAACGGGUGAGUAACACGUGAGUAACCUGCCCUUGACUUUGGGAUAACUUCAGGAAACUGGGGCUAAUACCGGAUAGGAGCUCCUGCUGCAUGGUGGGGGUUGGAAAGUUUCGGCGGUUGGGGAUGGACUCGCGGCUUAUCAGCUUGUUGGUGGGGUAGUGGCUUACCAAAGCUUUGACGGGUAGCCGGCCUGAGAGGGUGACCGGCCACAUUGGGACUGAGAUACGGCCCAGACUCCUACGGGAGGCAGCAGUGGGGAAUAUUGCACAAUGGGCGGAAGCCUGAUGCAGCAACGCCGCGUGCGGGAUGACGGCCUUCGGGUUGUAAACCGCUUUCGCCUGUGACGAAGCGUGGGUGACGGUAAUGGGUAAAGAAGCACCGGCUAACUACGUG